UGUCAGUCAGCAACAAUGAAAACACACACUGCUCAAUUGAAUAUGAAGGCAAAUGCAGUCUGCAUUAAUUCAACCACACUUAUCAAUUCAAUAUUAAGCCCAAAAUCGUUUCUGACAAACCAAUCGGUAGAUUAUUUGUACAUAAAAUCCAUCCAGUGCUCUUUCCUGGUGAAGACGUUGAUCCCAGCGUGGUGUGAAAACUGGUCUUUACGGCCUUCAGUUUGUUCAGUCUCUGGGCUGAAAGAUCACAGUCUCUCUGUCUCUCUCUCUCUCUCUAUCUCUUCUCUCUCUCUAUCUCUCUCUCUGUCUCUCUCUCUGUCUCUCUAUGUCUCUCUCUCUCUGUCUCUCUCUCUCUGUCUCUCUCUGUCUCUCUCUCUCUGUCUCUCUCUGUCUCUCUCUCUCUCUCUGUCUCUCUGUCUCUCUCUCUCUCUCUCUGUCUCUCUCUCUGUCUCUCUCUGUCUCUCUCUCUCUCUCUCUCUCUGUCUCUCUCUCUCUCUCUCUGUCUCUCUCUCUGUCUCUCUCUGUCUCUCUCUCUCUCUCUGUCUCUCUCUCUCUGUCUCUCUCUCUCUGUCUCUCUCUGUCUCUCUCUCUCUCUGUCUCUCUUCUAUCUCUCUCUCUCUGUCUCUCUCUCUCUCUCUCUCUCUGUCUCUCUUUUUUUCAUUUGCCCGGUCCAGUUCCGACGAAAAUGUACAGUCCACCGAAGCUAUAGUGGCUGGUAUUGUCAAGACCAGUCACAGCAACUUUAUUGCUUCGGUUGCUUCCAAGUCAUGUUCUUUUAUAAAGUCAAGAAGCUGUGCAGGUGAUUUUCCCCUUAGUUCUUGUCAGCCAUACAACCCCACAAGAUCACUUUUCAGCCUGAAGACGUCAAAGUACCUUGCAUACUUUGAUAGCUUCUCCAGUUUGCUGUCAUCAAACUGGCGCAACAACUCUUCAAACUUUUUGCAAUCUACUAGUCCAUUGAAAUUGAGAUUGGAAAAGUUAUCCACAAACCUGGUCUUCAUCUGAACAUUGAC
rnacentral:lncRNA from 1 species